CAGUCAGUGCCUCAAAGCUUAGGUCUUAUUUGUCCCAUGCAUAUGAGAUUUGUUGUUUUAAUGAUCCAUUUUCAAUAUAAUUUGUUCCUUAGCAAAGACCACAUUUAAUAUCUCUAGCCUUCUCUAAAUACCUGCCUAUCAAUUGCUUCCCCACUCUCUUUGUCUCUCCAGUAGAUUCGAUUUCUCCUAUGCUCAUGACAACUUUCUAAUCCUUCUUACUUCAGUAAUGCCAUAUUGCGACCUUAGGUUGGUGAGAGGGUUCCCUGAUGACAUACUUGUGAGACUUCAUGAUGCCUAUCAACACAAAGGGAGCCUUCAUUUCUAAUGGCAAGGAGGAACUUUAGAAUCUAAAUUACUGCAUUAGUAUGCAGAUGUUGAAGAGACAGAAAAUUGAGGUUCAAAAGAAAAGAGGUGAGAGAGAAGAUGCAAAUUUUUGAAUAGUUAGCACAAUCCACUAGAAUUGUAAACAUGUAAAGGAAUCUGGUCUCCUAUUAAGCCCCAUUUAUUUCCAAUUUCUGGAAUUCCAGGGAUAAUGGCAUUAUAGUCAUCCCUUUGAGGCCAUUUUCUCCUUGAUUGAGCUGAUGGUUUAUUUUGCUCCUGUCAGAGUUUAUUUUUCACUUCUGCACCCUAUCAUUUAUUUUAAUCUGUACAAUUUGCCCAAUUUCAGUUUUACUCUUUGUUUUAAAAAAAUGUUAUUCUCUUUGAAUUACUGAUAUUAAGUGGAAAGGAUCUAAAUUGUCUAAGGCUAAGCAAAUCGCUAUCCUCCCCUAUAGAUUAACUAGGAAAAGUAGACACUAGAAUCACAAACUUUAACCUGGAGAACAUUUAACCAGGAAUGCAAACAGCACAGAUAAAGUUCAUGAGAGAUACGGUGAGAGAUACGGCAAGAAGAAAAGUCUAUGGCCAAGUUAUAGAGAUUCAAUGUUAAUACAGGCAACAGGGACUUGAGCUUCUCAUAUAAUUAUCUCAAAUAGCUGAAUUUACAAAGGGACAUUUAGCCUUGAUUUCAGGGAAAACAUUGUAACAAUUAGAGCUACCUAGUGAUGGAAUGAACUGCCUUAAGAGGUAGUAUGUCUCCCUUCUCUGGGAGUCUUCAGGCAGUUGUUGAACUAUUGGCUAGUUGUUUGAGCUAUUUUAAAUGAGAUACUAAGUCAGGGCUAGAGUGAACUAUGUGGACUCCAAAAUUCCUCUUUAAUGUUACAUUUUGAAGUUUUAUAUUUAUUCUGUUCCAAUGUCUGUUGAUUUGUUUGUACAAAAAUUUCUGUGUUGGUAUUUUUAAAAAAUUUUUGGUUCUAAAUGGAUGUCUACCCUCUUCUAUUUUCAGUUUCUUCAAAAUUUGACUUAGCUGGACAGCUCCUUCUGUUGCUCUGCUUAUUACUGUCCCUGGCAAUAGACAUUCAAAGAAGCAACAAGACAACUUCUCUCUAAAAAUCCUCAGUGCAAAUUGAUUCACUAUCAUGCUAACAGGUUUCCUUGAUGGGGAAAAGUAUCUGCAGGUACCUUUUGUUUUUCAUGCCUUUUCUGAGGUGGGUUGGCUUUUUGCUUUGGUAAGAGUACAGACUUCUACUAUACUAGGUUGACUGGCUUUUCAAGUCUUUUAUUCAAAAUUUAUGGCACUCCUCUUCAUAAACAAUAUAGCAUAUGGGCAUUACACAUGUUGGUAGAUGAAUUGAAGGAAACACAGCACCUGUCCAAAUCUCAUUUAAGAAUAUGACAUUUGGGACUUCUGGUCAAGAUGGCGGCGUAGAAGCAACGAAAGUUCAGACCUCGGAAACCCUUCCUUACCAAUCGCAAACAGAGUGCUCCUAGGCCAACGAAAUUCAAGCUGAACAACAGAAUAGACCUGGAGAAACCUCCACCUAGACCUGGAUCAAAAGGUACCGCACCCCAAAAGCCAGAACCCUAGAUCCCUGGGAUCUAAGGGGUAGACAGAAAGAAGGUCCCAGGACCCAUCCCCCCCAACCCAGAGUGCUGAGCCCACAGCAGCAGUGGGAACCUCAGGGCUCUAAGGACUCACCUUAAAAGCAACCUGAGCCAGUCUCUGGGGUGCCCAACACAGACGGCAGGGAAACAUAGAGAGAAGGGGGAAGCCUGUAGCCCCCUAGCUGGGUCCUUCCAUCUGUGUCUCAAGGGAGGUCCCAGCUUUAGGGUACCAGCUGAACCCAAUCCCAUCAGGAGCCCUCAGAGCUACUGAAAGGACAGAAAACCAGGGCUGGCAAAGGGGUUGCUCCAAAGAGCUUACCUUGAAAGUAACCCGGGCCAGUUUCUGGGCAUUCAACAAAGACUAUGGAGGAGGAGGUUACUGCUUUUUUUUUCUUCCUUUUUUUGGCUCAAAGAUCAUUCAGCCCACACCACCUGAACCUAAUCCCAUCGGGAGCCCUCAGAGCUUCUGAAAGAACAAAAACUUCAGGACCAGUGAAGGGCUUACUUUGAAAACAACCCGGGCCAGUCUCCAGGCAUUCAACACAGAUUGUGGAGGAGGAGGCUUUUUGCAUCAGGGCUCAUUUGGCCCAAAUCAGGUGAACCUAAUCCCAUCAGGAGCCCUCAGAGCCCAGGCGAGCCAUGACCCCUCCCCACUUAGAGAGCAGGGUCUUCUGAAAGAACCAGCUGAACCUAAUCCCAUCAGGAGCCCUCAGAGCCCAGAGAGGCCAGGCAUCUCCCCCCUUAGAGAGCAGGGUCUUCUGAAAAAACAGAAACCAAGAGGCGAAGUCAAGAUGGAAGCCAAGAAGGAGCAUAGACCUGGCAGCCUGGCCAGAGCUUUGGAGAUCCUCCAUAUCUGCUCCAGCCUUCCAGGAAGUUUAAAACUCAGAGUAAACCCAGCCCAACUAAACUGAACUCAAUCCCAUCAAAAGUCUCCAGAACACAGGGAAGCCUAGGCUCUCCAUCCAUCCUCAUUGACUGCUGGACUUUAAGCCAAUCAAAAGCCUCCAGAGGACAGGAAAGCUCAAACCCCCAACAACCCUCCCCCAUAGAUUACACAAAGAGAUCCUCUGUUAAAGCUCCAAGAGGGGAGACUGAUAGAAGUCCCCAAAAGAACAAAAAAAUGAGAGGAACAAGAGCACAGACAAAUACACUGAGGAAAGAAGGGGUGAAUUUGAACAAACAACAGAAACAGAAGAAAGAAACUACAAUAGAUAGCUACUACUCACCAAAUGGAACAGAGGGGGAGAGAUCAGCAAAUGAUAAACCAGAAAUCCCAGCGAAUUGGAUACAGGCUGUGGAAGAACUCAAAACACAACAAAGAGAGACUGAAGACAAUUAGGAAAAGAACUUAAAAAUUAAGAUAAGCCAUCUGGAAACAGAGGCACUUGAACUAAAACAAGAAAAUAGUGUCCUGAAAGCCAAAAUCAUACAGAUGGAAAAUGAGGCAAAGGAGAUGAAAGAUGAGACAAAGGAGAUGAAAGACGAGAUAAAGAGGAUGAAAGAAGAUCUUCAAAGAAAAUCAGACCAUAAGGAAAAAGAUGACCAAAAAACCAGAGAUGAAAUCUAAUCUUUAAGAACCAGAAUAAAACAACUAGAAUCAAGUGACCUCACAAAGGCAGCAGGACACUAUAAAACAAAACAAAAAGAAUGAAAAAAUUGAGGAAAAUGUGAAGCAUCUCAUUCACAAAACAGACGAUUUAGAAAAUCGUUCAAGAAGAGACAAUUUAAGAAUAAUUGGACUACCAGAAGACCAAGACAAAAGAAAAAGCCUGGACAUAAUACUAGAGGAAAUUAUCCAGGAAAACUGUCCCAAGAACCUAGAACAAGAGGGGAAAGUGGAGAUUGAAAGAAUCCACAGAUCACCCCCUGUAUUUAAUCCCCAAUUGACAACACCAAGAAAUGUUAUAGCCAAAUUAAAAAACAAUCAGAUGAAAGAACAGAUAUUACAAGCUGCCAAGAAGAAGCCAUUCAGAUACCAUGGAAACACAGUGAGGAUAACACAGGAUCUGUCUGCAUCCACACUGAAGGACUGAAAGGCAUGGAAUAUGAUAUUCUGGAAAGCAAGGGAACUAGGCCUACAGCCAAGAAUAAAAUACCCAUCAAAACUGACUAUAUUCUUACAGGGGGAAGUAUGGUCAUUUAACACAACAGAGGAAUUCCAAGCAUUCAUAAAUAAAAGACCAGACCUGAACAGAAAAUUUGAAGUCCAACCACAGAACUCAAGAGAAUCAUCAAAAGAAUUUAGAGACAUGGAAAAUUCCCUUCAUAUGCUGCUGAAAAUAGAGGAAUCUGAAGUAACCAUGAAACAAAAGUCCUCACAUUACUUUAUUCUAAUAGAAAUGGCCUUAGUUGAAAAUGUUGGCAUGUCUUCUUAGACCUAGAACCUAAAGAAAUUGCCUUCUUUAUCCACCUUUCUACUAUUUCAUUAGGUUUUUGUUGUUGUUGUUGUGCAUUUCACUUAUAAUCAAGGUAUAAUUUCA